rnacentral:rRNA from 1 species
GAUAAACGCUGGCGACGUGCCUAAUACAUGCAAGUCGAUCGAUGGAUGCCCAGCUUGCUGGGAGGAAAUAGAGGCGAACGGGUGAGUAACACGUAAGCGACCUGCCCACGGAGACCGGGAUAAUCCCUGGAAACGGGGACUAAGACCGGAUAGGUAACAGAACCGCAUGAUUUCGUUAUUAAAGGUUAAAACACUGGUGGAUGGGCUUACGGUGCAUUAGCUAGUUGGUGAGGUAACGGCCCACCAAGGCGAUGAUGCAUAGCUGGUCUGAGAGGAUGAACAGCCACAUUGGGACUGAGACACGGCCCAGACUCCUACGGGAGGCAGCAGUAGGGAAUUUUUCGGGCAAUGGGGGAAACCCUGACCGAGCAACGCCGCGUGAGUGAAGAAGGUCUUCGGGAUUGUAAGCUCUGUUGUAAGGG